rnacentral:rRNA from 1 species
UGGGGAAUAUUGCACAAUGGGCGCAAGCCUGAUGCAGCCAUGCCGCGUGUAUGAAGAAGGCCUUCGGGUUGUAAAGUACUUUCAGCGGGGAGGAAGGGAGUAAAGUUAAUACCUUUGCUCAUUGACGUUACCCGCAGAAGAAGCACCGGCUAACUCCGUGCCAGCAGCCGCGGUAAUACGGAGGGUGCAAGCGUUAAUCGGAAUUACUGGGCGUAAAGCGCACGCAGGCGGUUUGUUAAGUCAGAUGUGAAAUCCCCGGGCUCAACCUGGGAACUGCAUCUGAUACUGGCAAGCUUGAGUCUCGUAGAGGGGGGUAGAAUUCCAGGUGUAGCGGUGAAAUGCGUAGAGAUCUGGAGGAAUACCGGUGGCGAAGGCGGCCCCCUGGACGAAGACUGACGCACAGGUGCGAAAGCGUGGGGAGCAAACAGG